rnacentral:tRNA from 1 species
GCGGGCGUGGCGGAACGGUAGACGCAACGGACUUAAAAUCCGUAGGGCCGAGAGGUUCGUGCCGGUUCAAGUCCGGCCGCCCGCACCA